UUUGGUUAAGUUAGAAAGGGCGCACGGUGGAUGCCUUGACACUAGGAGUCGAUGAAGGACGGGACUAACGCCGAUAUGCUUCGGGGAGCUGUAAGUAAGCUUUGAUCCGAAGAUUUCCGAAUGGGGAAACCCACCAUACGUAAUGGUAUGGUAUCCUUAUCUGAAUACAUAGGGUAAGGAAGACAGACCCAGGGAACUGAAACAUCUAAGUACCUGGAGGAAGAGAAAGCAAAUGCGAUUUCCUGAGUAGCGGCGAGCGAAACGGAACAUAGCCCAAACCAAGAGGCUUGCCUCUUGGGGUUGUAGGACAUUCUAUACGGAGUUACAAAGGAACGAGGUAGACGAAGCGACCUGGAAAGGUCCGUCGUAGAGGGUAACAACCCGUAGUCGAAACUUCGUUCUCUCUUGAAUGUAUCCUGAGUACGGCGGAACACGUGAAAUUCCGUCGGAAUCUGGGAGGACCAUCUCCCAAGGCUAAAUACUCCCUAGUGAUCGAUAGUGAACCAGUACCGUGAGGGAAAGGUGAAAAGCACCCCGGAAGGGGAGUGAAAGAGAUCCUGAAACCGUGUGCCUACAAAUAGUCAGAGCCCGUUAACGGGUGAUGGCGUGCCUUUUGUAGAAUGAACCGGCGAGUUACGAUCCCGUGCGAGGUUAAGCUGAAGAGGCGGAGCCGCAGCGAAAGCGAGUCUGAAUAGGGCGUUUAGUACGUGGUCGUAGACCCGAAACCAGGUGAUCUACCCAUGUCCAGGGUGAAGUUCAGGUAACACUGAAUGGAGGCCCGAACCCACGCACGUUGAAAAGUGCGGGGAUGAGGUGUGGGUAGCGGAGAAAUUCCAAUCGAACCUGGAGAUAGCUGGUUCUCCCCGAAAUAGCUUUAGGGCUAGCCUUAAGUGUAAGAGUCUUGGAGGUAGAGCACUGAUUGGACUAGGGGUCCUCAUCGGAUUACCGAAUUCAGUCAAACUCCGAAUGCCAAUGACUUAUCCUUAGGAGUCAGACUGCGAGUGAUAAGAUCCGUAGUCAAAAGGGAAACAGCCCAGACCGCCAGCUAAGGUCCCAAAGUGUGUAUUAAGUGGAAAAGGAUGUGGAGUUGCUUAGACAACUAGGAUGUUGGCUUAGAAGCAGCCACCAUUUAAAGAGUGCGUAAUAGCUCACUAGUCGAGUGACUCUGCGCCGAAAAUGUACCGGGGCUAAAUACACCACCGAAGCUGCGGAUUGAUACCGAAUGGUAUCAGUGGUAGGGGAGCGUUCUAAGGACAGUGAAGUCAGACCGGAAGGACUGGUGGAGUGCUUAGAAGUGAGAAUGCCGGUAUGAGUAGCGAAAGACGGGUGAGAAUCCCGUCCACCGAAUGCCUAAGGUUUCCUGAGGAAGGCUCGUCCGCUCAGGGUUAGUCAGGACCUAAGCCGAGGCCGACAGGCGUAGGCGAUGGACAACAGGUUGAUAUUCCUGUACCACCUCUUUAUCGUUUGAGCAAUGGAGGGACGCAGAAGGAUAGAAGAAGCGUGCGAUUGGUUGUGCACGUCCAAGCAGUUAGGCUGAUAAGUAGGCAAAUCCGCUUAUCGUGAAGGCUGAGCUGUGAUGGGGAAGCUCCUUAUGGAGCGAAGUCUUUGAUUCCCCGCUGCCAAGAAAAGCUUCUAGCGAGAUAAAAGGUGCCUGUACCGCAAACCGACACAGGUAGGCGAGGAGAGAAUCCUAAGGUGCGAGAGAACUCUGGUUAAGGAACUCGGCAAAAUGACCCCGUAACUUCGGGAGAAGGGGUGCUUUCUUAACGGAAAGCCGCAGUGAAUAGGCCCAAGCGACUGUUUAGCAAAAACACAGCUCUCUGCGAAGCCGUAAGGCGAAGUAUAGGGGGUGACACCUGCCCGGUGCUGGAAGGUUAAGGAGAGGGGUUAGCGUAAGCGAAGCUCUGAACUGAAGCCCCAGUAAACGGCGGCCGUAACUAUAACGGUCCUAAGGUAGCGAAAUUCCUUGUCGGGUAAGUUCCGACCCGCACGAAAGGUGUAACGAUUUGGGCACUGUCUCAACCAGAGACUCGGUGAAAUUAUAGUACCUGUGAAGAUGCAGGUUACCCGCGACAGGACGGAAAGACCCGUGGAGCUUUACUGUAGCCUGAUAUUGAAUUUUGGUACAGUUUGUACAGGAUAGGCGGGAGCCAUUGAAACCGGAGCGCUAGCUUCGGUGGAGGCGCUGGUGGGAUACCGCCCUGACUGUAUUGAAAUUCUAACCUACGGGUCUUAUCGACCCGGGAGACAGUGUCAGGUGGGCAGUUUGACUGGGGCGGUCGCCUCCUAAAGUGUAACGGAGGCGCCCAAAGGUUCCCUCAGAAUGGUUGGAAAUCAUUCGUAGAGUGCAAAGGCAUAAGGGAGCUUGACUGCGAGACCUACAAGUCGAGCAGGACGAAAGUCGGGCUUAGUGAUCCGGUGGUUCCGCAUGGAAGGGCCAUCGCUCAACGGAUAAAAGCUACCCGGGGAUAACAGGCUUAUCUCCCCCAAGAGUCCACAUCGACGGGGAGGUUUGGCACCUCGAUGUCGGCUCAUCGCAUCCUGGGGCUGUAGUCGGUCCCAAGGGUUGGGCUGUUCGCCCAUUAAAGCGGUACGCGAGCUGGGUUCAGAACGUCGUGAGACAGUUCGGUCCCUAUCCGUCGUGGGCGUAGGAAAUUUGAGAGGAGCUGUCCUUAGUACGAGAGGACCGGGAUGGACGCACCGCUGGUGUACCAGUUGUUCUGCCAAGGGCAUAGCUGGGUAGCUAUGUGCGGAAGGGAUAAGUGCUGAAAGCAUCUAAGCAUGAAGCCCCCCUCAAGAUGAGAUUUCCCAUAGCUUAAGCUAGUAAGAUCCCUGAAAGAUGAUCAGGUUGAUAGGUUCGAGGUGGAAGCAUGGUGACAUGUGGAGCUGACGAAUACUAAUAGAUCGAGGACUUAACCAUAUAA
rnacentral:rRNA from 1 species